GAUUCGUCACACUAUCAUUAACUGAAUCCAUAGGUUAAUGAGGCGAACCGGGGGAACUGAAACAUCUAAGUACCCCGAGGAAAAGAAAUCAACCGAGAUUCCCCCAGUAGCGGCGAGCGAACGGGGAGGAGCCCAGAGCCUGAAUCAGCAUGUGUGUUAGUGGAAGCGUCUGGAAAGGCGCGCGAUACAGGGUGACAGCCCCGUACACAAAAGCGCAUGUGCUGUGAGCUCGAUGAGUAGGGCGGGACACGUGGUAUCCUGUCUGAAUAUGGGGGGACCAUCCUCCAAGGCUAAAUACUCCUGACUGACCGAUAGUGAACCAGUACCGUGAGGGAAAGGCGAAAAGAACCCCGGCGAGGGGAGUGAAAAAGAACCUGAAACCGUGUACGUACAAGCAGUGGGAGCACCCUUCGGGGUGUGACUGCGUACCUUUUGUAUAAUGGGUCAGCGACUUAUAUUCUGUAGCAAGGUUAACCGUAUAGGGGAGCCGGAGGGAAACCGAGUCUUAAUUGGGCGUUAAGUUGCAGGGUAUAGACCCGAAACCCGGUGAUCUAGCCAUGGGCAGGUUGAAGGUUGGGUAACACUAACUGGAGGACCGAACCGACUAAUGUUGAAAAAUUAGCGGAUGACCUGUGGCUGGGGGUGAAAGGCCAAUCAAACCGGGAGAUAGCUGGUUCUCCCCGAAAGCUAUUUAGGUAGCGCCUCGUGAAUUCAUCUCCGGGGGUAGAGCACUGUUUCGGCUAGGGGGCCAUCCCGGCUUACCAACCCGAUGCAAACUGCGAAUACCGGAGAAUGUUAUCACGGGAGACACACGGCGGGUGCUAACGUCCGUCGUGAAGAGGGAAACAACCCAGACCGCCAGCUAAGGUCCCAAAGUCAUGGUUAAGUGGGAAACGAUGUGGGAAGGCCCAGACAGCCAGGAUGUUGGCUUAGAAGCAGCCAUCAUUUAAAGAAAGCGUAAUAGCUCACUGGUCGAGUCGGCCUGCGCGGAAGAUGUAACGGGGCUAAACCAUGCACCGAAGCUGCGGCAGCGAACGUAUCACCCAAGACAACUUUACGGAGUUGACGAUUGACGGAGCGAAGCGACGUCAAAGCGUUCAUUAAAGUCGAGUUGGCUUAGGGAUACGUUCGUUGGGUAGGGGAGCGUUCUGUAAGCCUGUGAAGGUGUGUCGUGAGGCAUGCUGGAGGUAUCAGAAGUGCGAAUGCUGACAUAAGUAACGAUAAAGCGGGUGAAAAGCCCGCUCGCCGGAAGACCAAGGGUUCCUGUCCAACGUUAAUCGGGGCAGGGUGAGUCGACCCCUAAGGCGAGGCCGAAAGGCGUAGUCGAUGGGAAACGGGUUAAUAUUCCCGUACUUGGUGUUACUGCGAAGGGGGGACGGAGAAGGCUAUGUUGGCCGGGCGACGGUUGUCCCGGUUUAAGCGUGUAGGUGUGUGUUCCAGGUAAAUCCGGUUCACUUUAACACUGAGGCGUGACGACGAGGCACUACGGUGCUGAAGCAACAAAUGCCCUGCUUCCAGGAAAAGCCUCUAAGCAUCAGGUAACACGAAAUCGUACCCCAAACCGACACAGG
rnacentral:rRNA from 1 species